rnacentral:rRNA from 1 species
AACGAACGCUGGCGGCAUGCCUAACACAUGCAAGUCGAACGAAGCCUUCGGGCUUAGUGGCGCACGGGUGCGUAACGCGUGGGAACCUACCAUCAGGUUCGGAAUAACAGUUAGAAAUGACUGCUAAUACCGGAUAAUGUCUUCGGACCAAAGAUUUGUCGCCUUUUGAUGGGCCCGCGUAAGAUUAGGUAGUUGGUGGGGUAAAGGCCUACCAAGCCGACGAUCUUUAGCUGGUCUGAGAGGAUGAUCAGCCACACUGGGACUGAGACACGGCCCAGACUCCUACGGGAGGCAGCAGUGGGGAAUAUUGGACAAUGGGCGAAAGCCUGAUCCAGCAAUGCCGCGUGAGUGAUGAAGGCCUUAGGGUUGUAAAGCUCUUUUACUGGGGAUGAUAAUGACAGUACCCAGAGAAUAAGCUCCGGCUAACUCCGUG